rnacentral:rRNA from 1 species
AGAGUUUGAUCCUGGCUCAGGACGAACGUUGGCGGCGUGCUUAACACAUGCAAGUCGAGCGGUUGAGAGGAAAAUGGNNNNNNNNNNNNNNNNNNNNNNGAUGAAAGCGGCGGACGGGUGAGUAACGCGUAGGCAACCUACCUUAUGCAAAGGGAUAGCCUCGGGAAACUGGGAUUAAUACCUUAUAAUACUUUGGUAUCGCAUGAUUCUAAAGUCAAAGAUUUAUCGGUAUAAGAUGGGCCUGCGUCUGAUUAGCUAGUUGGUAAGGUAACGGCUUACCAAGGCGACGAUCAGUAGCCGACCUGAGAGGGUGAUCGGCCACACUGGAACUGAGACACGGUCCAGACUCCUACGGGAGGCAGCAGUGGGGAAUAUUGCACAAUGGGCGAAAGCCUGAUGCAGCAACGCCGCGUGAGCGAUGAAGGCCUUCGGGUCGUAAAGCUCUGUCCUAAGGGAAGAAAAGAAUGACGGUACCUUAGGAGGAAGCCCCGGCUAACUACGUGCCAGCAGCCGCGGUAAUACGUAGGGGGCAAGCGUUAUCCGGAAUUAUUGGGCGUAAAGAGUGCGUAGGCGGAUUUACAAGCCUUUGGUGAAAGGCUACGGCUUAACCGUAGUAAGCCUUAGGAACUGUAAGUCUUGAGUGCAGGAGAGGAAAGCGGAAUUCCUAGUGUAGCGGUGAAAUGCGUAGAUAUUAGGAGGAACACCAGUGGCGAAGGCGGUUGCCUGGCCUGUAACUGACGCUGAGGCUCGAAAGCGUGGGGAGCAAAUAGGAUUAGAUACCCUAGUAGUCCACGCUGUAAACGAUGAAUACUAAGUGUUGGAGCGCAAGCCUCCGUGCCGCCGUUAACACAAUAAGUAUUCCACCUGGGGAGUACGGCCGCAAGGUUGAAACUCAAAGGAAUUGACGGGAGCCCGCACAAGCAGUGGAGUAUGUGGUUUAAUUCGAAGCAACGCGAAGAACCUUACCAGAGCUUGACAUACCGCGCAAGGCCCUGGAGACAGUGCAAGUUUACUUGCACACGGAGACAGGUGGUGCAUGGUUGUCGUCAGCUCGUGUCGUGAGAUGUUGGGUUAAGUCCCGCAACGAGCGCAACCCUUAUUGCUAGUUGCCAGCACGUAAUGGUGGGCACUCUAGUGAGACUGCCGGAGACAAUUCGGAGGAAGGUGGGGAUGACGUCAAAUCAUCAUGCCCCUUAUGUUCUGGGCUACACACGUGCUACAAUGGGUGUAACAACGGGAAGCAAGCUGGCAACAGCAAGCCAAUCCCUGAAAAGCACCCUCAGUUCGGAUUGUAGGCUGAAACCCGCCUACAUGAAGUUGGAGUUGCUAGUAAUCGCGAAUCAGCAUGUCGCGGUGAAUACGUUCCCGGGCCUUGUACACACCGCCCGUCACACCACGAAAGUCGGCAACACCCGAAGCCGGUGACUCAACCCGAAAGGGAGAGAGCCGUCGAAGGUGGGGUUGGUAAUUGGGGUGAAGUCGUAACAAGGUAACC